UCAGCGACAGUCACUUUUCAUGUCAAA
rnacentral:piRNA from 1 species